UGAGCGCUAGUUGAGACCAAAACAAUAACAAUGAAGAUUUUUGUCGUCCAGUUUUUGGUAGACAGAAGGGAAAAAGACAAACAAUAAAUAAUUAAAAUUUAAUUGAUUUAUUGCUUAUUGUCUACUGGAAGCUAGAUGAAAGAUGCUUGGUAAUAUUUAGUGUUUUUGCUGUAAGUUUCUGACCAUUCCUGCCAGACUUAAAUAAAGAGGUUUCCUCUUUAUCUUUUAAAUCUCCUCCAGAAAUCAUCUAAACAGAUCCAGGAACCAGCAGAACCUCCCCUCUCUGUUUUCUCUUCCUGUUUCGGGUCGAUCCGCAGGCGCCAACCUCCCGCUGGGUGAAACGUUUUGGGCUUUUCUGUUUAACUUGCUGCCUGUCUGUGAGGCGAGCGCUGUACCUCGCUCUCCGAACUGCUCCUCCUCCUGCUGGUGCCUCGUCCUGAAUCCUCUGCCUGGGUGCUGAGCACGGCGACAACCGAUACUCUGGGAAAUACAGCGUCCUCCACUGUUUCUUUUCUUCCUUUCUUUUGUUUGUUUUCUGCCCUCCUGUCAUGACGGGAGGAGGGAGAUGCUUCAAAUAUCUGACUGACCAAUAUGUGCCACCCCAACACAAAGCUUGCUCUUUUUUGGUUUUGGUUUUUAAUAUGCUGUUAAUUUGGUUUCACUGUGGAGGCAGGACCCACCCUGCUCCGACAGAGAAUAAAGAAACGUGUUCUUUAUUGGUCGUUAGAUGUAACAUUAGUGCAGGUUGAAACCUGACAGGACAUAUUUUUUGCACUUUUUAUUGUCUCACAGCUGUAGAGACCCAGAGGGGACAUUUGGGGGACAGGUGGACAAGUUAAUCUUCCAUUAUCAUAUUUCUUUGCAACCUUUCCAAACCCUGACACAGAUUUGAUGUACGUCAGAAUGUGUUUUCUGACCUUUUUUUUUUCCGUUUCUCUCAUCCUUUCAUGUUUGUUUUUUUUUUUUUCUGCUGAAUCAAAGACUGUCAAAGCACGAGAAAAGAAAAGAACAAUGUUAAGCAGCAACUACUGUAACCUCACUAAGUAGGCCCCCCGUUCUGUCCCAGGAUGGCGCACAACGAGGCGGCCUACUCUGAAAGAAAAACACUUUUACGUGACGUGUGUAUGACUGCUGUGCUCCUCUCUGCAGAGAGGCUUCCUCUGGUUUUGCUCGUCAUUUAUACCUCAGGUCUGGCCACUUAAAAUCAGCUGAUUGUAUAUUAGAAACACACAAACAAAAAGAGGAUCAGGUCUUUUAGUACGACUUGUUUCCACAUUUUUAGGGCCUAACACACAGAGCGGAUUUUAGAUGAGAGUUUUUUUCUCGACGUGAUUGUUCGUACUCUUCUUGCUCCUCGUGGCAUGUGAUAUUUGCUUUGUUUUCCUACAAAAAAAAUAACAAAGAUAAAUUCCUUCAAAUGCCAGAAGCCAGGUUUUAUGAAUAUAAUGCUGUGUUCUCUUUAGCACAUACAGCCGUGGGAGAGCAGAACGCACACACACACACACGCGCGCGCACACACACACACGAAGCACCUAGAGCGACACACACUCUCCCUCCUCAUCAGGUAACCACAUUUUGUGUGGGCGGGUUUUAUGUAUAAUUAUGAAGCCGAGGCUGCCGUGUCUCUGGAAGCAGGUGGGUGUGUUUUGUCCACUGAACAUCACUGCUGCUGGCUGCUUCUCAUCACUGCAAGCUUUCCCUCUGUGAAAUCCUCACUUCCUGUCUGUUUUCUCCUUUCCUAAUGACACUUCUUUCUCUUCUCCUUUUCUCAUCACGCGUUAACCCGCCUGUCCAGAUUUUUGCUUUUUCAAUCUUAGUGGUUAAAGACAUCGAGAAGCAGCAUUUAAAGUAAUUUUUUUCUCGUCUUCCUGACACAAACAAUUGCUAAUCGUUUUAGUUAUGAGCAGAAGCGAUGUCGCACCAGCUACUCUAAAUUAGUAAAACUGGAAUUUUUCAAACUUAAGAUGAAUACAAACGAAUUAGAGUUUGAAUAUUUUCUUAAAACAAGCUCCUAUAACUUGUUAUCUGUAAGAUAGCUUUUUCUUAUAGUGUACUAAGAUAUUUGCAAUAAAAAUUAGACAAAAUACUUAGUAGGAUUUUGUGUUUUUGCAGUGUAAAGACCUACAUUCUGUAGAUUAAACACAAACUGCUGCCAUGUUUCCUAUAUUUUCAGUGAAAUAAGUGACGUUUUGCCCCAGUUUCCUGAAUGUCAGAGAGAAAGUAGCCGCAGGAGGAAAUAAAUUUUGUUCUGGAAUAAAAUGUUAGUCAUUCGUGGAGGUUCAGAAUUUGUUUUGCAGAAACUUUUUAAUUUUAUUGCUUCAUCUUCAAAAACAUUUGCAAGAAUAAUUAAGAGGUUUAUUGAGAUCCAAUUUAGCAACAGAUAUUUUUAUUUUAACCAUGUAGGAUAAUAAUAAACACACCAGCCCAGAGUUCCUCCCCUGCGUUUAAAGUGGCAGUUGUUUCUUUCCGUUAGUUGCGGUUCUGUCCAGCUGUGCUUCUGCUGUACUCUGGAGCGAUGCUAAGUUCUGUAAAUGUCAAAGCAUUAGGAGCAGACGUGAAAAGCAGUCGCUCUCUAACCGCGUGGCUCUGAGAGCAGAACCGGGCGCAGAUCUUAAAGGCCAGGCACGCCUCCAAAGUGAUGCUGAUUUGCAGCAAUCAGUGACGGCGCACCUUUACCUCCUUAUGUCUGAAAUGGAAAAGCUGCUGGAAAUAAAUUCCUGAAUUCACAGCAGAUCUUUGUUUGAUUUGGAAAAUUAAAGCACUUAGAAGAUUACAAAACUCUGCAAUCGCUCACCUCUGACUUCGUUUCUACAAACUGCAACUAUAAAAGCCAAAUGUACGGAAGAGAAUUGGGGCCAAAAAAGUCUGACUCCCUUUUCUCUAAAACAAAAUUGUUCUGACAAAUGUAGUCUUCAAACUUAACUCCACCAAAUAAAUUUUGACGCGCUUUCAGUGUGGAUAAAUGCAGGUUUACAAACCCAGUAACAAAAAAGAGACACUUGUAACUAUUUUGCUAGCACCGUAAUUGACAUUAAAUUAAAAAUCUCUGGUUAAUAUUUGGAUUUUGAUAUAGAUUGACACAUAAUUAGAGUUCUGAAAUUAAUCUGUCAAAAGUAAGAAACAAAGUCAGGAAAUUUUUACUCUCAAAGUCAGCUGUACAGAAAAGGAUUUCAAAUUAAACUAAUUUGAAAUUUAUGUUAGAAAUUAAACUUUAAUCUCAAAAUUCUGAGUUUAUCUCAGAAUUUAAAGUCAGAAAUUAAUGUCAAAAUCUUGAGAUUCAAGUCAAAAUCUUGAGAGAAAAUUUGGUGUGCAAGUCUGAUUUUAGUUUCAGGAUUCUGACCUGAAUCUCUAGAUUUUGACUUUGAUCUCAAAAUUUUUACUGUAAAUUUAGAAUUUUGAGAUGAACAUCAGAAAUGAAUUUCAAAAUUCUGAAGAGAGUUAAAAUUUUGAGAUUAAAGUUUUAAUUCUGAUUUUAAAGUCAGAAAUUAAAGUCAAAAUUCUGAGACAAAGAUUGGAAUUCUGAGUUAUAGCCAGGAUUUGGAGAUUAAAGUCAGAUUUCUGGGAAAAACAUCUUUCCCAUUGGCCCUGCUGUUCUUCCAUAUGCACGUCUUUCCAGAUUUGCUUUUGUUGAACUCUGUAAUCCUCCUGUCGAUGUGAGUCGAUGUGAAAGGUUCCACAGAGCCACGUUUUUCACAGCAAACCUGCGGCGACGGCGUACGUCUCGCCCUCUGAUGGCGUACGUCUCGCCCUCUGAUGGCGUACGUCUCGCCCUCUGAUGGCGUACGUCUCGCAGAUGGCCGCCACACAGAGCUGCAGAUUCAGACUCUGGUCUGAGGAGGAGGUGAGAUCUCAGCGAUUCAGAGAUGCAUAAAGGCUUCCACCUCACUGCCACCCUGAGUCCAUCAGAACCGGGACACAGACUGAUAAAAAGCUCCUGUUACGGACCUGGGGGGCAGAAAAUACAAAACCGGGAAAUGAUUUUGAAAGGAAAAUAUUGAAAAUGCCUCCUAGGGCUUCGUGAAUGAACUCCAUGUUGUCCUUGUGAGUUACCAUGACGAUCUUGCAGCAUUGUUCCCAUGUGGAGGUGCGUCUGGACCUUCAGAGCCACCUACGGAGACCAGCUGCUCUCCUGUGGCUCUGAGCUCAGACCCGGCUCCGCUCUCACUAAUAAUCACACUUACCUGUGACUCCUCACGACCAGGUGUGAUACAGAGGAAGAAAAUAAUAAUCGGAAUAUGGAGAUUCGUUCAGUUUUUUGUCUCACAAUCUCACAUUUGAACCGUUUACCUCGACUCGCUCUCAUGUUUAUCUAUAGAACACAUUUAUCAAAAUCCAGACGCGUCAGUACAACCUUAAAUAUUUUAUCAAUCAAAUCAAAGCAGUUUUUUAUCUCCAUACUGCCUAACUCAGGGGUGUCCAAAGUGUGGCCCUGGGGCCAUUAGUAGCCCUUCAAAUUACUUUUUUUUUGGCCCCUGACCACAAGUCAACAAUGAUAAAAACAGUUGAUAACCCCAAAAAUUAAAAAAAAUAUAUUUGUUUUAAAACCCUUUUUAUGUGUUGGAUAUUUAAUGAUGUAGAGAUUUCAUUCAAAAAUGUAUUGUUGAGCAAGUAAAAACAAAAAAAAUAAAUAAAAUCAAAAUAAAAUUAAAUUUUAUGACCCGCCAGUAGUAGAAAUUUGUACACCACUGUCCUAAUUAAAUCAAACUGUCCCUCCAUUCCACAAACAAUCAAUGAAUACCUGAAUUAUUUUUAUUACACUAAUGCAUGAUUGUGACUUUAUUGCAAGAUUUUCACAAAAAGGAUCAAAAACACUGUUUUUAAGUGACUGCUACCUCCCACCAGCAGGUGGCAGUAUUUCUUCUUCAGCCUUAAUGAUGUCAAGUCUGUGACUGAUUACUGCGAGUAACCAAAACAAAUUUUACCAUCAUACAUAUGAACAAAUAUUGCAAAAAUUCCUGGCAAAUAUUUCUAAAUUAGAGCCAGAAAAUCAGUGAUUUUGACUGCAAAAAAAAAAUUAUCACAAAAAAUAUUAGAAAAUCCUGGUGAAACAGAUGAAUGUGUAAUUUUUAAACAAUAUUAAACCUUCAGAAGAACUUAUUGAAUGCAUAUGCAGCUAUUUAUUAGUAUUUGAAUAGUUUAACAGAUUUUAUUGAUACUCAAUCGCUUUUAGAACAAAAAUAAAAUCUUAUUGUUAACAUAGUGAAGAACAUCAUUGGACUGCUUUCACUGAUCAGCAGAACAUAAAUUAUUCAAUAAAUAUUAGAUGUAUUCUAACAUCUAUUAGUGAUGAAGUUAUGAAUCAAGUUAUUUAGAUGUGGAUAAACUGCUGGACACAAAUGAUCGAAUUUCUCUUAUUCUUAGUGGUUUCUAGUUUUAUAAAUGUACAAUGUAGUUCCAGUAAUAAAUUAAUUACUGUUUUUAUUUAUUUCAGUCACUGAAAAUGUUUUCUCAAUUUCACUUUUUGUUAAUUAUAAUAACCUUGGUUCACCGGUUUAAAUCUCUGGAUGUUGAUGUUGUUCUCUUUCUUUCUUUCCUUUCUUCUUCUUCUCUUAUGUUUUCACAGAGGUUUGGUCUUGUAGAUUUUUUACUUUUUUUUACCUUGCUCCCCACCUUCUCCCACUGCUGCAGUGAGAGAAGGUGGGGAGACCAUUGGGAGACCAUUAUCCUGUUUAAUGUUGAGUCUUUCUGCAAAAAAGAAACGGCUGCUCAGCCUUUCUACAACUCAAUAUUUUAAAAUCUUCUUGUUAUGAAGAUUCAGGAUAAUAAUCUCCUCAUUCACAUUUAAUUUAUGUGAUUAAAAAACAAAAAGAAUCAGCCAGCAUGUAGUGUUUUUAUUCUAUUGAACCCCAAUGUCCAGUCCACCUGUUUUAUUUAUAGAUUUAAUCUUAAUUUGUGGCCAUGCAACCGUCUCUGUUACCUUUAACUUGUGAAGUCUACACUACAUGCAGAUGCUCACAUCGGCAUGUGUAUUUAUAGUGGAGCUGAGCAGCGGCGCUGGCUGCUGAGUGGGAUCGAUAGGCAGGUCAGACGGAGCAGCGCUCACUGGGCAGAAAUGGAAGUACGCUGUACUGACAGGAAGUUUGGCAGGGGAGGCCCAUGCAGAGCUUACUUGACGGCCCACCUUGUCGUUUUUAUUUUGUUUUUGUUUUUUUAAGAGAUUUAACGUUGACGACUCGGACUGUUGCCUUCCCAAACGUUGAAAUCAAGCGGAGCCGCUCGGUAGAUGGUCGCUCCAAAUGAGUCCGCAAACGGGAGAGUAACACUUUGUGUUUGUUUGUUCUUACUUUCACUGUCUGAUGAUAUUUUCCAUCCUGCUGUUUUUGCAGUUUUUUUUCUCUCUCUCUUUUGGGUGUGCAAAAAUGUAAAGAAAAAAAAACUUACAACACAGAAUACCUCAGAAAAGAAAUCCAUGUAACCUUGACGACCCUUAUAUAUAUAUAUAUAUAUAUAUAUAUAUAUAUAUCGUCCGAUCCUGGCCAUCCUCCCAACCACAUCCGAUUUUCUUUUUCACCAUACCAAAAAAAAGAAGAAAAAAAAAGCCAUACCAGAAGGAAAGCGGUCGCUUCUUUCUUCACUUUGGUUUCACAUCCUAACCUGUGCGUUCUGACCCGGAAAUACUCUCGGUGUGCAACCUUCUGCAGCCUGCUGCUUGGCUGCUUUGAACCGUUGCCAUCGCUCAUGCAGAGUGGGUUUGCUGGAAGCAUGAAGGCCGACAUGGAGAACACUUGAAGUCGCACAUCUCCCACCUUCCUCCUUUCUUCAUCUAUCCUUCAUCUUUAUUAAAAACUGAAUGUAAAAAAAAAUACAUAAACACUACAAACCUCUAAUUUACCUAUACAUAUUUAAGAAUAAAAAUACUCUAUAUGUGCACAUAGAUAUACCUAUACAAGCCCCUCAUAGACACAAACACAAAUGCAUAUGUAUAUAUAAAAUCUCUUAUGUCAGAUACUUUUAUCUUGAGAAGGAAAAGGAUGGGCCUUUUCCAUCGACGAUUCAGGGAAACAAUACAGAAGUCCAGUGCAGAAUGUUGGGUUAAAAAUCUCCCGCUCUGUCGCUUUUGGUGUUUUCUUACUCAGUUGUGCUUGGUAAUUACCCCAUGAUGUAGCAUAGGGAAAAUGGCCACAGCCAUUUGAGUUUUUCAUGGUUGUUUUUAUUGGUUUGUUUUUUUUUUUUUUACAGAAGAUGUAGUAAAGGUAGACUCUCGUGUAGUUGUAGUCCAGUCUGAUUCCGUGAAGCAGGAGUGGGGACGGGUGGGUGGGUUUAUUUUGUAAAGCAGACUCUGUAUUUAUCCAGUCGACACGCCGUCAUGUGUGUAUGUACGGGGGGGGGUUCCUUUAGACAGGUUGUAUAUAGAACCGGUUCACCCAUCAUCCACCUUACCUGCCUUUUUCUACAGGUGAGGCGGACGUGCGUAUGAAGGCAUGGAGGCGCCUGUGAUGAAAAGUCUUGAUGAAGGAAGCGGAGACGUUGCCCCUUUCGGUUAUUUUGCAUGCUGGUGUACAUACCCCCCCUCGCCGUAUCAGGCCUUUUGUUUGAGAAGGCUCAUUAUUGCAGAAGUGCUUUUUUUAUUGGAUGUUGUCAGCGGGAAAGAUUCUAAUGUUUAAAAUAUAUUCCCUGAGAAAGUAAAAAACAGGAGGAUUAGCACCUGAAGUGUUUUGUUUGUCACUGCAGCAGCUUUCCUAGUGGUUUUCGGCUCUUUUGCGGUCAUUUAUUUCCCUGUGUAUAAUAACUGCGUGUGUAUGAGUGAAAGUGUGUGGCAUUGUAAGAAAUCAUGUGGAAAAUUUUUGCCACUUUUGAUUUGUUUCCUCAUCAAUAUUUUAACCUCAGAGCAGCUUUUAGGAACACAAACAUAUGUUGCCAUAUAUGUAGGUUUAAGUAACCGCAUAUCUCGACAUGCCCCUGUUGUCUGCAGAAGGAAACCCCGAUAAUUCCCCCAAAAACGCCCUCAGGGAUCCCACACAGCGCCGUUCUCAGUCACAUUCAGGUUGGUAAUCGACAGAGGCCUCUAAUCAACCGGUACCAUUUAAAUGAAGUGCAGGCAGAACCAGAGUCUGGUUUCAAUCAUCUUUCUUUAACCCAGAUCCUGUCAGGAGCGGCUAUGAGUGUCACAUUUCAGAACCGGCGGAUCUUCACGAGUUCUCGCUUAAGAAACGGUCCAUGCAGGCAUCUGGGGUUGUAUGGUGGAAUUCCCAUGUUUUAAAGGUUUAAAGGGGCAGCGUUAUGUAAAAAUAACCUUUUUUUAUCUUUACAUUAUGUUAUAAAGUUAUUCCCUCGUCAAAAACAAACCUGGAGUGUUGCCUUGAUUCUUUCAUGCAUGUUUGAGAAACCCGUUAAUCUCUAUGGCAACCAUUCCGCUGUGAAAAAUGCCUGGAUGGACAUAGCCCCGACUUCAAGAUGCAACUUCCAAGUAGCUCUCUCUGCAACUCCCCCGUUUAGCUCCUUAAGACUAGCCAGCAGCAAUUGGCAAACACCUGGUGGAGGUCAUUAUAGGAGCCAUUUGACUGGCAUAACACCUGCCAUGAACAUGAAGUCUUAAUGAAUGUAUGAUUGUUGUCAUGAAGUGUGAUUUGAUAAAUAAUGACAUUUUUAAUGAACUUUUAAUGCGACUCUGCAUGAAGUGUCAUUUUUUUUACCAAAUAACGCAAAGUUGACACUGUUAAUGCAACUUUUAAUGUUACUUUGCAUUAAAAGUGUCAUUAUUUACCAAAUCACACUUCAUGACAACAGUCAUAAACGUUCAAGAAGACUCAUUCAUGUUCAUAAGAGGUGUUAUGUUGGCCCUUUGUGUUACCAAACGUAGAAACGAUGUUUAGUAUUGAAGCCAUGUUAUGACUUCCUGAAGGCGGAGUUUCAGAAAGAGCAGGAGUUUUUGAAGAGACAAAAGCCCAAUUUCAAGGCGUUAAACCUGGAAGUAACAUUUUCUUUAAGUUACAUUUGACAUAUUUUGCAUUUUCAUAACAAUUGAAGGUAAUUGUUAGCUACCUGAUUGUGCUAUAAAAUGGAACUAUGUGCCUGGAAAACUUUUAAUGCUGCCCCUUUAACUCCACACAGAUUAAUGACUAAUAAACAAGAUGAAAUUAUCUGUCUUGCUUUUUUGGCAGCUUUCUUCUGUAUUUAUUGUCUGAUAUUUGGAGAGCCACUCAUGUCUGCUGAGUGGCCGAUGCCUCUGCUUCUCGUCUCACUUUGUGUCGCUGCACAACUCUUGGCUCAUGCCGCGGUUUUAGGGAACCUCCUGCAAAAACGUUCACAUCUAUUUUCCCACCAAACGACGUAAACAAGCAGCUCUGAGUGUCAGAAUUGUGUCAUGAAUUUAACCUUAAACCUCCUUAAAUCAGUCAAACGUUAAUGUUUUUUUAAAAACGUGUUUUUAAAAUUGUAAAUCGUGCGAUCAGAGUUAUCUAGAUUAUUUUUAACAUUGCUAAUGUUUUUGAGAUUAAACGGAAAGCUCUGAAUGCUCUGGAACCAUGAAACGCUGGUGGUCAGACGCAGGAAGUGCGGUCCAGGGCUUUGGACUCAUUUGGCUACAACGACAAACCUCAUCUUGUGUUCGGUCUCAGUUAUCGUCCCGCUGAGCGUUCUGACGUGUCAGAACGUUGCCUCAGUCACUGAGCGGAUUCUGGACGCCCCACAUCGGGGCUCGCUGGGCUUUUUACGUCACUCUUUCUUCGCUGAGAUUUUCUUUCCGAGUUUGGCGAUAUAUACCUCAUUCCUUCAGUCCAGCCGGCCCGAAUGGGCGCUGUGCCGAUGCUCAGGAUGCUCAAGCCCCCCUUUUACAGUUUGGUCCCACCUGGACUUUACCUCACACACACACACACACACACAUAUUUACACACAUAUACACAGUUUCUCCAAAUAUCCCAAGGACCUCAUUUUUCAAUAUCUACUGUUUACAGUUUGACAAAAAAAAUGUAUAAUUUAAAAAAAUAUUUUUCUCAUGUUGUAGUUUUAUUUAUGUAUAAUAUUGUUUUUGUUUUUAUUUUGUACCUUGUGAGUUGGACUUUUAUUCUUCUAGACUUUACUAUUACUGUCCAUGUAAAUGAGCACUUAACAAGGAUUACAAAAAUCAGGUUUUGUUUGAUUGACUCACAUUUAUUUUUGUUUGUUUGUUUUGUUUUCCCUGUCUGUUUUAAUGCAAAUUCAAUUUUUUUAAUUUUGUUUGGGCUAAUGAAUAAUUCAUGUCUGAUUUUUGGGGUUUGACCAAAAGAUGAAAAAUGAUUGUUUCCUUUUAUUUGACAACGGUUUUGCAUUGGACAUCAGGCAACAUUGAUUAACUCUGUCUUUGUGCAUGUGUAAAAUACUUUACUGGUUAUGUUAUAUUCAGUUUGGUGAAAAAAAAGAAAAGGAAAAAAAAAGAAAAUUGCCAUUUUUGCCACACAUUUCAGCUGUAUUGUUGUGUAAGGUAGUAUUCACUGGAUGCUAGAACUUUCUUUUCAAAACCACUAUUCUUCUAAUAAAUUUUGUUGUGAAACUAAAA